rnacentral:rRNA from 1 species
GACGAACGCUGGCGGCGUGCUUAACACAUGCAAGUCGAACGGAAAGGCCCUGCUUUUGUGGGGUGCUCGAGUGGCGAACGGGUGAGUAACAAGUGAGUAACCUGCCCUUUACUUUGGGAUAACUUCAGGAAACUGGGGCUAAUACCGGAUAGGAGCUCCUGCUGCAUGGUGGGGGUUGGAAAGUUUCGGCGGUUGGGGAUGGACUCGCGGCUUAUCAGCUUGUUGGUGGGGUAGUGGCUUACCAAGGCUUUGACGGGUAGCCGGCCUGAGAGGGUGACCGGCCACAUUGGGACUGAGAUACGGCCCAGACUCCUACGGGAGGCAGCAGUGGGGAAUAUUGCACAAUGGGCGGAAGCCUGAUGCAGCAACGCCGCGUGCGGGAUGACGGCCUUCGGGUUGUAAACCGCUUUCGCCUGUGACGAAGCGUGAGUGACGGUAAUGGGUAAAGAAGCACCGGCUAACUACGUG